UACGUAGGGUGCAAGCGUUGUUCGGAUUUACUGGGCGUAAAGGGCGUGUAGGCGGUUAGUUAAGUCUGGCGUGAAAGCUCUCGGCUAAACCGGGAGAGGUCGUUGGAUACUGGCAAACUAGAGGACGGUAGAGGCGUGUGGAAUUCCGGGUGUAGUGGUGAAAUGCGUAGAGAUCCGGAGGAACACCAGUGGCGAAGGCGACACGCUGGGCCGUACCUGACGCUAAAGCGCGACAGCAUGGGGAGCAAACGGG
rnacentral:rRNA from 1 species